AAUUUCAGCUUUAGUCGUCAUCUAUCCUUCAUGGAGACCAAAACGUUUGAGAAUUUGUUAAAGUAGUUCGUUUUUUUUUUCUUUUUGAAUUAUUCAUUUUAAAAUUUCUGUAGUGCAUUGAUUAUUUUAAAGUUUCUUUUCUUUUCUUUUAAAUAUAUCCGGUGUGUGAAUAAGUGUGAAAAUUCUGUAUAAAAAAAAGGACGACUACGCUAACUAAAAUAAGUUAAUCAAAGAUCACAAGGAAGAUAUACAACGUCUGAUACACAUCAUUUCUGAUUAAAAGAAAAAGGAAACAGAAAAAUGCCUUCAAGAAGUGCCACUGAAACGCAUAAUCAGCAGCUAUAUGGAUUUCCAUUGAUACUGUAUUCAUUGCUGCUACGUGUUGCUGCAACACUUUUUGGGCAACUUCUCCUACAUUUAGGGGAUCGUUUGCUGUGGACGGUGGAAAAUUUAACAUAUUGGUCUAUCCCAUCACAUCGACUGGCUGAAUUUACAAAUUCACCCCAAACACCCCUUGUGCGUCCACUCUCGUGGUGGCUCUUCCUCCCGAGCUUACUUUGGCUACGUUUAAUCCGCAAAGGACUCACCAUCGUCCUAUGGUUUAUUGGCUAUGAACCUGUGACUCCCAUUUCAAUGGUGCAGUAUAUACAAACACAGAGAAAUCGUAUACAAGCGAUAAAACAAUCUGGUGUCCAAACCAUACGCAAACGUCGUGAGGAAUCAGCGAAAAAAGCCGGAUUAAUUCGGGGCAUUUUGUUAAGAAUUCAAAAACUCUUCUACCUAAUUUUCUUGCACUUUGAAGAUGAAGAAGUUAAAACACGAAUAGUACAGUCAGAGAAGCCCGUAAAUAAUGAGGAGGAAAAAGAGGAGAGUACAGAUGGGGAAACAGAAUUGACACUUGCAGAGCUGUUAGAAAAGUACACAAAUAUGGAAGAUAAUGAAGAGAAUGAUCCUGAUUAUAUUCCUAAUGAAGAAUCAUCAUCAACAGAAGAAGAUUGCUCGGGUGAAGAAGAUGAGGAAGAUGAGACUAUAGAUGAGGUUGAGCUACAGGAUCUCUUUAAUAAGGAAAAUUUUUGUGAUUUGGAGAAAUUAACCUCGAAGCACCCACCACCAAUGCCCUUUUCCAAUUCACAUCAAUCAAGUCAAAGUUUCAUUCAGGCUGAAGCUAAUUACUCAAUUCCAAUUGCAUCGCAGUACCGCAAUGUCGAAUGUGAAAAUGUUUUGAUGGGAACGGAGGCAAAAGUGCAAAAUGGUGCGGCUGCUGACAGAAAAAUGGGAUCAACACGUAAAAGAAAUAAUAAUCAGAGGAAUCGAGCAAAUCGUUGAAGUAUGUGUUAAUUUUUAUUAAAUAUCUAAUAUUAAAUAUCUGCUUUAUCCCCGUAUUUUUUUCUCCGUUAACUUGAGACAAAAAAAAACUAUUUGGUAAUUUCUUACAAUAACGAAUUAUUAUUAAUACAGUGAAAUGCCCUCAAUUGUGUAAUUUAGCAGGAUAUUAGCUUACCACCAAUCGAUCAGGGAUCUAUCUGUACCGAAGGGAAAUGAGGGCGACAGGGUGGGUGUCUGGCACAUCGUAUUCUGAAACGUGGAAAGAAAAUAAUUAUUUAUUAAAUCACUUUCUUACACUUAAUGGUUUCUUUGGACAAUAAAAAAAUCUUUUAACCUUUUACGAUAUAUUCUGUAGCUUUGGGGCAUUUCAUUUUAUUGUAAUUUACCUUACUUUAUGGUUAAAAAAAAUUAAAAUUGUUAUUCAAUUAAACAAGGAGAUACCUUAUAGGUGCUGUCCAAAAAUAACUCUAUUAAUAUUUUUUUGUGAAAACUAACUUGAGCUUUGCUCAUUUUUCUUAAAGAUUUCAAAGAAAACAACAUUCACAGGACACCGUUUAUUACUGUUUCUGGUACUAAUAGUAGUGGAGGGAAUUUCUACAAUGUUAAUGAUGAAGCUCCAAAACAUUCGUCGACUUCUGGAACAAGCAACCCUAUCAAGACCACUCUAUCAAAAGAAUUGAAGGACUCUGACCAAAAUCAGGAAAUAUUCUAAUUUAUCUAAUUCUUAAACAAUCUGUCUUUGCUGUUUAUUUUCAUAAAUCAUGUUAAAUAAAAAUUGAGAUAUUUUUCGAAA